AUGAACAAUUUGGAUAUUUAUGCAAGAGACUGUUCUUUUGAGGUCUCCCUAAGAGAUAACCAAUUGGAUCUGGGGCAAACAAACAAAAAGAGUAAUCAGACUCCACUGACCUGUUUAACCCUGAAUGUGAAGGAUGAAAUGCAGCAACCGUUUUCUGUGGAACAGGGCUUCUGAUGGCACUUGCUUUUUUCCUUUUGGACUAUGUUGACUUAAAAACGAUCAAGAUAUUGAAUUGAUAAUGUGAAUUUGCACCCACCCGACUGUGUUCCAUCACUUUUUGUAGCAGGUAUGUCAUUUGAAUCAUUUUGCCUCAUUUUUCAGCAUAAAGUCAGAUGAAUUAUGGGUAUGGUAAAAUAAAAGGCAUAUUAUUAUGACCUCUAGAUAAGCU
rnacentral:lncRNA from 1 species